UAUGAGUACUUUUGUUGAGAGUGUAACAUUUGACGUUUAGUAACGUCAGACUCGUGGUGAUUCUGACUGUUUAUGUUUCAUCAAAAUUAAUUUGAAGGAGUGGCCGUCGGAAAAAAACGUUUACGUCGGUUUUGGGCGGAAAUUCGCGGUUCUCGUGACAUUUCGGGCUGGCGAAAUGUUACCGGUGGCCAACGUACCAAGUCGGGUUAUUGACGAACGGUUCCCUGCGGUAAAAAUCAAGGCGCGGCCAGUACUCGAGGAAGAUUGCCAGUGCAGCUGCGAUCCGGUGGGGUCGGUGUAAUCCGUACGACGGCAGGCUUUUGAGGUCGCCAAUGUUUUCAGUGCGAGACAGUCUUCUGUGGCAAUCCCAACGUGCAGUGGCGCAGUGCAACCCUUGCGACUGUAACAUUUACGGCGCGGCCACUUGGCAGUGCGACCGCGAAACCGGCCAGUGCAUCUGUAACCCCGAUAUUGGAGGCUACAAGUGCGACCAAUGCGCGCGUGGAUACCUUGGCGACGCUCCGUACUGUGAACCGUGUGGCGAAUGCUUCGACAAAUGGGCGAUCAUCCUGGACGGACUGCGGGAGGAAACGAAACGAACGAUCGAGAAAGCGAAGACGAUCAAGACGCUGCUACCGGAGCGUACAAGAAGGAGUUCGACUCGAUGAG